CUGGAGGCAGACAGGCAGGAAGAAUAUUGUAUACUUAAUACAUACAUAAAUGAAAUCUUAAAUAAAGAAAACCAUAUACCUUUAAAAAAAAAAGAAGAUAGAGUCAACAGUCCUCAAUUCCUAGAUCAGGAUGGGAGCCUAUUCGAGAACACGGGCAAGCAGGACUGGAACCCAGAUAUCUGAAUCCCAGCCAGGCUAGAUGGCAAGUGUGUGCAGUUUUCUAGGGAGAAGAUCCCUACCUUCAGUGAUGCUAAAGGAGGCGUUGGCCAGAAAACUGGACUGGGUAAAAGGGGAGAGGUGGGGGCGGCUUUUCCCAGGAGGUGCAUUUUAAACCAUGGGGAAGGGAAGCAGACUCCAGACACAGUGUUCCUAUGUUCAUAUGAACCCCCAAACUGGAGCUCAGGCCCCAGAGCUUGGUGGAUGACUGCAGUCCCCACAUGCUGGCAGGACCUUCUCAGAUGAGCAGUGUGGAGUGGAGGCUAAAAUAGAAGGAAACCUCCACCUAACAAGACAGCUAGGACACACAGGCCCCUGGGCAGCUGCUGUUCUUUCUGAAGAGCUGCCUUGGUCUGAGGGCUCGCUCUGUCAGAACUGCUCCUCCCUGUGGAGGAAGAUGUCUGCUCACCCACCUCAGAGAAGUGGCUCGUAGGGCAUUUAUUUAUCUGUGUACAGGAUGGCAGGGUCUGUGGCCAAGUGAGGGGAAGAGCCAUUAGGUGGCUGGGCAAGUGCGUUGUAGUCAGGAGGUGCAGGAGAAAGGGGUCCCCUGAGGUUUACCUGAGGUUUAUCUGACUAUGUCCUUCAGGGAAGAGUAGCUACCCACCAUGGCUGUUGUCUUGCUGUCACCUGGCUCUGGCCCUUCCCCAGGGCCCACCUAGUGAGAGGUGGAUGAUAUGGAUCACUCCCCAAGCUUCACCCAGACAGAGCGAUGCCAGACCUGUGGGACAGGCUACGAGGCUCAGGGGCUUGGCCCACCUAUCAGUCUCUAACAUGACCCUUCAAGAGCCAGCCUAAAUCCCAUUCCUUGGAGCCUGGGCUUUCCCUUCUUCCCUCUGAGUCUGGGAGCAGUGGAUAGCCCCACCCAGGGCCUUCCCACCCCUUUGCUGCAUGGACAGACAUGGGGGGGGGUGGAGAGCAGGCUUCAGAACCUCCCUCAGACACAACCACUGAAGGCACACAGACAUCACCUCUGCUCCAGCCUAUCUGUGCUUCACUGACUGGCUAGGUCGUGGCCACUGGUUACAGAGGGCCUCACGGUCCCCUGCCCAGACACCUGCACUGCUCAUCCCGACUCAGCAUUAGUACUGAGUGUUCACCACCUCUCCCAAGGCUUACUGGAAGAGUUUGGCCUGCACUGGGUCCUGCAGCCUCCCUUUGGUCUGGCCUGAAGGAUCUGUUAUUUUGUGCAAUGGACAUAGACCUGGGUGCAAUGGACAUAGACCUGGAAGGAAUUCAGGAAAAACAGAGAAGAGGCUUUAAUUACUCUGUGGUGGACAUUCAUCUCUCCACCCGUGUCGGAGGGCCUGGCUUCUUGGGCCCCAGUGCUAUUCCUUGUCUGGUAGAGAAGAGGGAACAGAGAAGAAAAGAGUAAAGGAGGGGAUAGAGGGAAUGAGAAAAGGGAGGACUUGAGAGCAAAGUCCAGCCCAGUGGGGAAGAGGCAGGUCACUUGUUGGACUCAGGCCAGAGUCCUCUGGGCCUAUAAACUGCGUUGCCUGGCUUAGCAGAUACUAUAAUAGAGCUGAGUGGUGGUGGCACACACCUUUAAUCCCAGCACUUGGGAGGUAGAGGCAGGUGGAUCUCUGGUUUGAAGCCAGCCUGCCCUGCAGAGUGAGUUCCAGAGAAACCCUGUCUCCAAAAACAAACAAACAAAGAUACCAUAGUAGAGGCUGUAAUGGGGCAUUAGACUCCAAACCAGGGCCUGGGCCUGGAAUCUUCAGAAAGUCUCUCCACCUGAGACCAGGGUGUCCAGUUGCCUCCAGCAAGGUGGGUAAGCUACAAAAGCCAAUGCAAUGAUGUCAGGCAGACCAGGGUGCCUCUGUGACCAGCUGUCCUGACCACACCCUGGCCUUACUCCUGCUCCAUGCUCCAGGAUGCCAAUAGUUCCAGGCUGUGGCCCCCAUCCAAGGGAGUAACAACCUUUCCAGAAGACCCCAGGCUACUUUGCCAAAGCAUUUCCUUUCCCAUUGUGGAAAUCCCCAUGAGGGACCCAGUGAGACCUGUAGUAGAAGGUGCCUGAUACUGGGUGUGAAUGGAAGAUACGGAUCCAUUUCUUGUCUGUUACAUGAAGGGUCAUGCAAACAGAGUCUCUGAAGUUUAACUCUAAAGAAAGAGGAACCUAGGGCCCCCCUACUCUUCACCCUUUGCUUUGGAGAGCUGUUUCCAGAGCAUUCUCCAAGAUCCCACAGAUGUGACUCAAUCUUGACACCUGCUUCUUGGAUCAGCCAGUGUUGGUGUGUCUCAGUGCCCCCUGGUAACACCUCCCCAUCCAGAGUGAGGGCCCCUUUCCAGUCCCUGCCUUCAUCUCUCCUCAUCAUGGACAAGGGAACAGAAUGCCCCUUGUAUGUCCACACAUGGCUGAGCCUCUCCUGGUCCCUGGCAGGGAUAGGUUCUCUUUCCCUACAGCCCUCUCUGUGACUACAUCCUGGUGCACCCCACAGCCACAGUGCAUGUUAGGAAGUACCCAUACUUCCCUGCAACCCCCAGAUGGAGUGAUGCAGGUAGUGCUGAUGGGCAGGCUGGUGAGGUUUGGCCCCAGCUGGCCAGAGAGACUGGGAAGGGCUGCACAACCUGCAACAGUAACUAGUGCGCGCGCGCGCGCGCACACACACACACACACACACACACACACACACACACUUCUAAAAAGUUAAGAUCCAUACAUGCUUAUAAGUUAGAGUGCUUCAACACUCAAUACUUCCCUAGGAAUAUGCUUUUUAAUUGCCAAAAUCAAUACCAAGGAGUACAAAGCACAAAAAUGACCAAUUACCCACUGAAGGAUUUCAGAAGUUGUCAUCUCUAAAAAGAAUGCCAGACUUAAAGAGAAUUCUAGAAUGAGUUCUUUUGAAGUGGAGGAAUGGGUGGGUAAUGUCUAAGUUAUUCAAAUUCUUCCAGAGCACUAUGCAAACAUUGGGUUGAUUUUAUGUUCUUUAGCCAAUUUUAUAAAGUCAAUAUAAUCCUGACACCAAACUCUGACAGAGACAGUCAUCCUGCCCACCCACACUCACGUGACAGACACAGGCCAGGUUUACUCCUGGCAGCAGACAGCAGAGUCCUGGAUAAAAUGCUGGCACAUGGAGAUGGGAACCGUAGUGUGGUCUGACACACUAUGGUAUUUGGCUCGCUCCUCCGUACCUCAGAUCUAUGCAACAGCAAUGUGCUGGGCCAAGGUCUGAAUCCAAGCAAUUUGGACACAACAUCUACUUUGUGUGGUCCUAAAUGCCCCUUCAGGAAGCAGAGAAAGCCAGCGAAGCCAGUGUGCACAGCUUGUAAAAAUAUGAGACAAAGGGCUGCCACUCAGAUUCCUGCUGUUUUCUGGCAACUUGUGGUUAGCCCACUCUUUCUCUUCCUUUUGGAGAAGUUUUGUUUUUAGAGACAUGGGCUGUCUGUGUAGCUGAGGCUGCCCUUGAACUCGCCGUGUAGUUCAGACUGCCCUCCAUCUUUCCAUCUUCCUGCUUCAGGCUCCUAAAUACUGGCAUUAUAGGAUUGUGGCUACCACACUAGACUGAAGAAACGCUUGGGUGUUUUUUGUGGUAUUUGCGUUGGUCCUAGUAUCUUGGGUAUACUCUAACACUGAGCUAUAUUCCCAAGACUUUGUACUUGCUUUUUAAAAUGAAAACAAGGUCUUAUUAAGUUUCCCGGUCUAACCUUAAGCUCACUUGUAGCCUAGACAGGUCUGGAAUUUGUCAUCUUCCUGCCUCAGCCUCCCCAGUAGCCGGGAUGACAGGCGUGCGGCACCAGGCCUGCCUUGCUUUGUGUCUUCGUCCUACAGCUGGUUCUAAGAGUCAGAGUCUUGUCAGAGGUUUGUUGUCCCUGUGUCAGUACGCAUAGCCCCUGUCCUGGUUGAUGUUUUUAUCAACUUGGCACUAACUAGAGUCCUUUUCGAAGAAAGAACCUCAACUUGGAAAAUUCCCCCACAAGACUGGCCUAUGGGAAAGCUUGCGGAGGCAUUUUAUUGGUGAUAAUUGGUAUUGGAGAGCCUAGCCACCGCCAACCCUGGGCGGGCGGUCCUGGAUUAUAUACGAAAGCAGGCUGAGAAAGCCAUGAGAAGGGAGCAAGCCAGGAAGCAGCAUUCUUCCAUGGUCUGUGCUGUUUCUGCCUCCAGGUCCCUGCUUGAGCUCCUGCCCUGCCCCUCAGUCGUUACUGUGACCUGAGAACUGAGCUGAGAGAACCCCUUUCCUCCCUAAGUUGCUUUUGGUCGUGGUGUUUUAUCACAGGCAUAGACAAAUAAUUAAGACAGGCCCAACACAUUAGGGCUGUGCCUAUGGUACAUUGACAACCACUUCCUGGUCUCAAGGAGCUCCAGUCUCCGGCAGCACCCCAGAGCCAGGCAAGAGGGCUGGGGUCCCAGCAGCUUGUCAGGGAACAGACCAGCAUUGCUCAUGGAGGCCACCAGGGGGAGCAGGACUCUUUUUCCUCAGGGCUACUUCAGGGAUGUGGGUUUUCUAGAUAUAUGACAUAAUUUUAAGUUGCAACCAUUGUCUCUUUUUUAUUUUUUAUUUUUAUUUUUUCUCAGCAUAACUAAGGAAUAUUGAGAAAUAAUUUGCAGACGGCUAUAUUUCUCCUUAUUAUGUGUAGAGUUUGAUAAGUUUAAAAAUAAAUAUAUGAAUACCCCCACAAUAAAAAUGUGGAAAAAGUUAGUUGCCCUCAAAGCUUUGUCUUGGGAAUAGAGACAUGGCUCAGCAAUUUCUCCAGGUCAUCUUGUUCCAGGUAGCAAGUGAAGCCAUGUUUGGCAACAGGUGGUAAGGCAGUGUUUAAGUGAGUCACUAAAUAAAUCAGUGUCUAAUAAUUGUUUUCUUCUGUCUUAGUCUAUCUCACUUCCUUGUAGUUAGUUUCACACUCACAGACCCCCAAGAACUGCUAAGUUGUUUUCUGUCCCUAUAGCUUUGCUUUUCACAGGGUCUCACAUCAAUGGAGUCAUCCAAUAUGUAGCCUUUUGUUUCUAGUUUUGUUCACAAAAUAUGUCUUGUGUUUUUUUUUAACUUUUGCAAUGUAAGUUGAAAAAUGUCAAUGUAUUUAUCUAUGGGGUACAAAGUGAGGUUAUGAUUUAUGAGCAUGAAAGAACAAUUAAAUCAAGCUCAUUAACAUAGCUAUCAUCUCAAAUGCUAAUCCCCUUAUGAUAAGAGCAUCCAAAAUGCACUUUCUUGUUGACUUUUGUUUGCUUUUUUAGUCAAGGCCUCUAGCCUAGGCUAGCCCUGAACUUGCUACACAGCCAAGGAUGACACUGCACUUCUCUUCCUCCCGCCUCUGCCUCCCAAGUGCUGGGAUUAUAGGCGUGUGACACCACACCCUGCUUAUGCAACGCUGGGGAGAACCCAGGUCUUCCUGCACGCCAGGAUCAUCGGUUGUUUUAGAAGCCUGUUGUUUGAUUUCCAAAUAUUUGGAGAUUUUUCCAGAUAUUUUUCUGUUGCUGAUUUAUAGCUUAAGUUAUCAUGCUGGACCAUAUUUUUGAAUGAUUUCAAUUAUUUUUAUCAAGAUUUGAUUUAUGGCUCAGAAAAUGGUCUUAGUGAAGUUUCACAGUCUCUUGGAAAGAAUGUGGAUUUUGCUGUUGCUGAGUGGAACAUCUCAUAAAUAAAUGUCCAUCAGAUUAAA